AACUGUUCUGACGAUACCAGUGGGUCUGCCUUGCUUCUGCGGUCAGGGAGAUGGGGGUGCUCUCCUGAAUGCCAGUGGUUCCACACCUUGGUUAGGGUGGAAGACAGACUGACCCAUCUCCCUAACAAUAUUUGCAGUAAGUGUGGCUCAAAUUAUCAUCUCAGCUCAUCUGAAUCUCAGAGAGAACCUUCUGAGGAAUCUCGUAUGUAUCCAUAUCAGCCUGCAGAGUCUCUAGCAAGAAAUGACUUGAAGAACAUCAAGAAGUGCACUCUCCUCCCACCUCUCAGGCCAUCACAACUCCCAGAAAGCGGGAAAUCAGCUGUGCACAGUGAAAGGACAAUGCAGAGUUUGCUCUGGCAAGACAAAGUGUUCAGACCACGUAGCAGAUAGGCCCAAGGUCUGUGCGUGGCAUGGUAUCACCUGUCCUCCAGGGAAGGACACUAAGCACAACAUUGAGAGAGAUUUGAAGCUGAUUUUGCAGGCUGGACUGACAAAACAGAGCACUGCUAGCAACAGAGAGGAAAGGAAGACGUGAGAAAAGGAGAAGAGGAAGAGAAGAGAAAGCCUUUUCCUCUGCUCAUAUUCGCACUGUGGAAGCUGCAGUAUGUGGUGCCUCCUUAAGCCCGUAAAUGUACUCUGAACUGGUCAUCACUGGAGCGCACCUGGUAGUGCUGCAGAGAGUGGAGGGGAACCAUGAUGAUAACAGUGGAAUGACCUUAUUCCUUUCCCCUAUCUCUCUCUUUAAAGACUCAAUAACAAUCUAUGGGCCAUGCUAAACAGCUGAGAAGGGUCCAGUCAGCUGGGUGCACCUCUGUCUCUGCUCAUCUGUGCAUGAUCUAUGUUGUAAACAAUUUCCUGCACUCACAGAAUUGUGUCUCCUUGGCAUACCUAGGCAUUCAGUCCAACUAGGAGCUGCCCCUUGCCAGAAAGAACUACAGCAUUCCCAUGCAGCAGGGAUACAUGUCACAGGACCUGUCACUGCACCUCAGUGCUACAAGAAGCCGCACCAAAUCCAAACCCUAAAUGGGGAAACUACUUGAAAGAUGGAAGAAAACUUUUACAUCAGGAAUGACUCAGGGCUUUGGUAUAUUACAUUCUCAAAUAUUUAUUUCUGUGUUCUUAUAAAUGUUGUAUUUGAAGAAAAAUAUUGUAAUUGGCCAAUAUUCCACAGGAUCUAAAUAUUUUGCUUUAUGACAGAACUUCCUUCCCCUACUUAGAUAUUUACUGCUUUGCUGACUGCACAAUUCAUGCUCUGGACAUGACGAGGCCUUCCCCCUACUCUGCAGUCUGUUUAUAUGUUACUGAGGCCUUAAUCCAAGCACUGUAAUAGCAAAGGGGAGAAAAGAGAAUUUAUCCUUGGUUAAUCCUCAGAAAUAGCUCUCGAUCCAAC
rnacentral:lncRNA from 1 species